rnacentral:rRNA from 1 species
GAUGAGCGCUGGCGGCGUGCCUAAUACAUGCAAGUCGAGCGAACAGAUAAGGAGCUUGCUCCUUUGACGUUAGCGGCGGACGGGUGAGUAACACGUGGGUAACCUACCUAUAAGACUGGGAUAACUUCGGGAAACCGGAGCUAAUACCGGAUAAUAUUUCGAACCGCAUGGUUCGAUAGUGAAAGAUGGCUUUGCUAUCACUUAUAGAUGGACCCGCGCCGUAUUAGCUAGUUGGUAAGGUAACGGCUUACCAAGGCGACGAUACGUAGCCGACCUGAGAGGGUGAUCGGCCACACUGGAACUGAGACACGGUCCAGACUCCUACGGGAGGCAGCAGUAGGGAAUCUUCCGCAAUGGGCGAAAGCCUGACGGAGCAACGCCGCGUGAGUGAUGAAGGUCUUCGGAUCGUAAAACUCUGUUAUUAGGGAAGAACAUACGUGUAAGUAACUGUGCACGUCUUGACGGUACCUAUCAGAAAGCCACGGCUAACUACGUG